CAGCCGCCGCGGGAAUACGUAGGUGGCAAGCGUUGUCCGGAAUUAUUGGGCGUAAAGGGCUCGCAGGCGGUUUCUUAAGUCUGAUGUGAAAGCCCCCGGCUCAACCGGGGAGGGUCAUUGGAAACUGGGAAACUUGAGUGCAGAAGAGGAGAGUGGAAUUCCACGUGUAGCGGUGAAAUGCGUAGAGAUGUGGAGGAACACCGGUGGCGAAGGCGACUCUCUGGUCUGUAACUGACACUGAGAGACAAAAGCUAGGGGAGCAAAUGGGAUUAGAUACCCCGGUGUCCCUGUCUCUUAUACA
rnacentral:rRNA from 1 species